CGGUACAUCGGUGACAGGUGGUGCAUGGUUGUCGUCAGCUCGUGUCGUGAGAUGUUGGGUUAAGUCCCGCAACGAGCGCAACCCCUAUUGUUAGUUGCCAUCAUUCAGUUGGGCACUCUAGCGAGACUGCCGGUAAUAAACCGGAGGAAGGUGGGGAUGACGUCAAAUCAUCAUGCCCCUUAUGACCUGGGCUACACACGUGCUACAAUGGUUGGUACAACGAGUUGCGAGUCGGUGACGGCGAGCUAAUCUCUUAAAGCCAAUCUCAGUUCGGAUUGUAGGCUGCAACUCGCCUACAUGAAGUCGGAAUCGCUAGUAAUCGCGGAUCAGCACGCCGCGGUGAAUACGUUCCCGGGCCUUGU
rnacentral:rRNA from 1 species